rnacentral:rRNA from 1 species
GCAAGUCGAGCGCGCCUUCGGGUGAGCGGCGGACGGGUUAGUAACGCGUGGGAAUAUGCCCUUCUCUACGGAAUAGCCUCGGGAAACUGAGAGUAAUACCGUAUACGCCCUUUGGGGGAAAGAUUUAUCGGAGAAGGAUUAGCCCGCGUUGGAUUAGGUAGUUGGUGGGGUAAUGGCCUACCAAGCCUACGAUCCAUAGCUGGUUUGAGAGGAUGAUC